rnacentral:rRNA from 1 species
AGUGAACGCUGGCGGCGUGCCUAAUACAUGCAAGUCGAACGGAGUUGCGCACGGGUGAGUAAUAUAUAGCUAAUCUGCCCCUUGAUGGAGGACAACAGUUAGAAAUGACUGCUAAUACUCCAUAGCAAGGGAUGAGACUAUAUCGGAUCAGCUAGUGGGUUGGGUAACGGCCUACCGAGGCUAUUACGCGUAACUGGUCUGAGAGGAUGGUAAGUCACAUUUGGAAUGAGACACGUGCCAAUCUCCUACGGUAGAAAGCAGUAGGGAGUGUGGCGCGAUGGGGGGAACCCUGAGGCAGCAACGCAGGGUGGAGGAUGACACUUGUCGGAGCGUAAACUCCUUUUGUUAGAGAAUCGGUACCUAACGAAUAAGCACCGGAUAACUCCGUGCCAGCAGCCGCGUAAUUC